UAAAGAGUUCUAUAACUCCCAAACCCAUGUGAACAUACCUAACGUUGCCUCGGCAGGUCGCACCUACCUUGUAGCACCCUACCCUGUAGGGCCUACCCGGGAGGUGCGGGUAAGCCUGCCGGCGGCCCACCAAACUCUGUUUGAUAUUGAAUUCUGAACCUAUAACUAAAUAAGUUAAAACUUUCAACAACGGAUCUCUUGGUUCUGGCAUCGAUGAAGAACGCAGCGAAAUGCGAUAAGUAAUGUGAAUUGCAGAAUUCAGUGAAUCAUCGAAUCUUUGAACGCAUAUUGCGCCCAUUAGUAUUCUAGUGGGCAGGACCGUUCGAGCGUCAUUUCAACCCUUAAGCCUUCGUUGCUUAGUGUUGGGAGCCUACGGCAACGUAGCUCCUCAAAGUUAGUGGCGGAGUUGGUUCACACUCUAGACGUAGUAAUUUUUUAUCUCGCCUAUUAGUUGGACUAAUCCCCUGCCGUAAAACCCCCAAUUUAUCAAGGUUGACCUCGAAUCGGUUCAGACAAACUCGCUAAAUUGAAGCAUCUUAGUCAGCGAAGGAAAAGAAACCAACAGGGAUUGCCCUAGUAACGGCGAGUGAAGCGGCAACAGCUCAAAUUUGAA
rnacentral:rRNA from 1 species